rnacentral:lncRNA from 1 species
AUGAAGAAAAAAUGCAAGGAUUUUUCUCCUCGCUAUAAGCUGCACUUUUCACGAUGGGAGGGAAUUCUGAUGGCCAGCCGUGCAAGUUCCCUUUCAAAUUUCAAAGUAAAACCUAUGAUGGCUGUACCACCGAAGGAAGGCAAGAUGGAUACAGGUGGUGUGGAACCACCGAAGACUAUGACCGAGAUAAGAAAUUUGGAUUUUGCCCAGAGACAGCAAUGUCAACAGUUGGUGGGAAUUCUGAAGGGGCUCCUUGCGUUUUUCCGUUCACAUUCCUUGGGAAUAAAUAUGAUGCCUGUACCAGCUCAGGACGCCAAGAUGGAAAGAUGUGGUGUUCCACAACAAGCAGCUAUGAUGAAGAUCGCAAGUGGGGAUUUUGUCCGGACCAAGGUAGGGAUACCGCUCAAACCAUAUUUAUCGCAGUCUUCCAGGUUUAGACUACAGUCAGCUGACUGCCACAUGAUGACAAAGGAAUCACCAUUUUUCUCUAUCCUCUUGUGAACCUCUGUAGACAUUGAUAUAACUUCUCACAUAAAGGCUCGAUCAAGACAUGAUGUCAUGCGCCCAACUCUACACGAAUCCGGGCAAAGACCCUGGCUCCUUCAUGAGGUUUGGUCCUCAUACCCAGCCAGAAGAAGAAAUAAACCAUAGUUCAGUCUCA